AACCGGAUUAGAUACCCUGGCAGUCCACGCCGUAAACGAUGAUAACUAGCUGUCGGGGCUCUUAGAGCUUCGGUGGCGCAGCUAACGCAUUAAGUUAUCCGCCUGGGGAGUACGGCCGCAAGGUUAAAACUCAAAUGAAUUGACGGGGGCCUGCACAAGCGGUGGAGCAUGUGGUUUAAUUCGAAGCAACGCGCAGAACCUUACCAGCGUUUGACAUGUCCGGACGAUUUCGGGAGACCGAUCUCUUCCCUUCGGGGACUGGAACACAGGUGCUGCAUGGCUGUCGUCAGCCCGUGUCGUGAGAUGUUGGGUUAAGUCCCGCAACGAGCGCAACCCUCGCCUUUAGUUACCAUCAUUCAGUUGGGGACUCUAAAGGAACCGCCGGUGAUAAGCCGGAGGAAGGUGGGGAUGACGUCAAGUCCUCAUGGCCCUUACGCGCUGGGCUACACACGUGCUACAAUGGCGGUGACAGUGGGCAGCAAUCCCGCAAGGGUGAGCUAAUCUCCAAAAGCCGUCUCAGUUCGGAUUGUUCUCUGCAACUCGAGAGCAUGAAGGCGGAAUCGCUAGUAAUCGCGGAUCAGCAUGCCGCGGUGAAUACGUUCCCAGGCCUUGUACACACCGCCCGUCACACCAUGGGAGUUGGAUUCACCCGAAGGCAGUGCGCUAACCGCAAGGAGGCAGCUGACCACGGUGGGUUCAGCGACUGGGGUGAAGUCGUAACAAGGUAGCCGUA
rnacentral:rRNA from 1 species